CCCUUAGAUGUUCUGGGCCGCACGCGCGCUACACUGACGAUGGCAACGAGUUUUUCCUUCGCCGAAAGGUGUGGGUAAUCUUUUGAAACAUCGUCGUGCUGGGGAUAGAUCAUUGCAAUUUUUGAUCUUGAACGAGGAAUUCCUAGUAAGCGCGAGUCAUCAGCUCGCGUUGAUUACGUCCCUGCCCUUUGUACACACCGCCCGUCGCUACUACCGAUUGAAUGGUUUAGUGAGGACUCCUGAUUGGCGCCGCCCCGGCAACGGAGCAGCGGACUGCCGAAAAGUUGUUCAAACUUGAUCAUUUAGAGGAAGUAAAAGUCGUAACA
rnacentral:rRNA from 1 species